GAAGGGCACCAUUUUAUGGGACUUAAGCCUGAGGGUGGAGCACAGAUGGCCUAGGUGUUAAAGUAAUUGUUCACAAUGCUGGCUGUACCGUGGGAUCACCUGGGGAACUGCAGAGCACCUGGCUCCCACUGCUGAAGAUUCUGGAUUAAUUUAUCUGGGGUGGAGACUAGGGGUGGGUAUGUUUGAAAAGUUUCUCAGGUGAGUCUAGUGUGCGUCAGGGCUCAGCACCACUGCCCAAAAGAUAUGCUGAGUUCUAGCUCUGGGUGUGUGAAGAUAAGGCACUGUCUGCCUCUCUCUGCUGGAUGUUCUAUCUAAGCAGCAUGGAUAUCGACAAGGCUCCAGGACGGACAAGAGAAGGUCUUAGAUGCUGAGAUCAUUACCAUCUUAAAAGACAGCAAGGUUUAUCCGUGUCCCUGGGAACCAAGAGUCACACUUUCCCAUCAACCAGCUGUUGCUCUUUGCCAUCAGCUUUGUCUUAAGUUCCAGUGAAUUUAGGAGCCACGGAAGCCCUGAAUCUCAGAAGCCCUAAGAUGCAGCCCGGAAAAGCUGAUUGGAAAGGAGAUUGUGUCCCUGGCCAAGGGCCAACAGCUCAACUUCCUCAAGAUCCCAUCUUUGCCUUUGCAGAGCCCAUUAGGAUGCCCCUGUUAGGAUAUUGCCUCCUUGUCACCCGAGCUGUUUGCAGCCCGUGUCCUAUCCUGGCUUGCCCUUCCUCCAACGACAAUUGAAAGUUUUCGGAUUUUCCUUAGUAAGAAGACAACAGCAGGGACAUGAUACCCUUUCAAAAUGCAGAGGGGGCUUUACAUUCACAUGCAUACAGACUCCUCUUUCAAACAGUCUCAGAGCGGGAAACCUCACAUUCUCAGCAGAUGGCCUUUUACCAGCACCUCAGUUGUUAGGAUACCUGUUAUCUGAUUGAUACUCCCAAGAUCCUGGUUGAAAUCCCUUUGUUUCCAUAGUCUUGAGGAUAUGCCUUCAUGUUUUACAUGUUAAAUUGUGGCUGUUUCAUAUAAAAUGGUUUGGCAUUUU